rnacentral:rRNA from 1 species
CCCUUUACAAGGAGGAGCAGGCGCGCAAUUACCCAAUCCUGACUCAGGGAGGUAGUGACAAGAAAUAACAAUAAACCGGCUUAUGCCGGUUUAAUUGGAAUGAGUACAAUUUAAACAUCUUAACGAGGAACAAUUGGAGGGCAAGUCUGGUGCCAGCAGCCGCGGUAAUUCCAGCUCCAAUAGCGUAUACUAAAGUUGUUGCAGUUAAAAAGCUCGUAGUUGGAUUUCUGUGGGGACGGAGCGGCCGGCCGCACAUCGCGGUUCGAGCUAGCGCUUUCCCUACAUCCUGCCGCGAACCGUGCUACCAUUAAUUUGGUGGCGCCGGGGAUCGGCUCGAUUACUUUGAGAAAAAUAGAGUGUUCAAAGCAGGCCACAUGCCUUGAAUAAGUUAGCAUGGAAUAAUAACUAAGGACUUCGGUUCUAUUUUGUUGGUGUUCGGGACUGAAGUAAUGAUUGAUAGGGACAGUUGGGGCGGUCUGUAUUCCAAAGCGAGAGGUGAAAUUCUUAGACCUUCGGAAGACAAACAGCUGCGAAAGCGUUCCGCAAGGAUGUUCCCUUUGAUCAAGAACGAAAGUUGGGGGAUCGAAGACGAUCAGAUACCGUCGUAGUCUCAACUAUAAACUAUACCAGCUAGGGAUCGGCCAACGUUAUUUUAUACCGACUUGGUCGGCACCUUAUGAGAAAUCAAAGCAUCUGGGUUCCGGGGGGAGUAUGGUCGCAAGGCUGAAACUUAAAGGAAUUGACGGAAGGGCACCACCAGCCGUGGAGCCUGUGGCUUAAUUUGACUCAACACGGGAAAACUUACCAGGUCCAGACAUAGUAAGGAUUGACAGAUUGAUAGCUCUUUCUUGAUUCUGUGGGUGGUGGUGCAUGGCCGUUCUUAGUUGGUGGAGUGAUUUGUCUGGUUAAUUCCGUUAACGAACGAGACCCCAGCCUGCUAAAUAGCGCGCGUGAGCUUUGCUCGCGGCGAGCUUCUUAGAGGGACUAUGAUGCGCGAUAGCACAUGGAAGUUUGGGGCAAUAACAGGUCUGUGAUGCCCUUAGAUGUUCUGGGCCGCACACGGGCUACACUGGCGCCUGCAACGAGCAUAUCAGCUGGUCCGAGAGGAUCUUGGCUAAUCUUUUGAACCGGCGCCGUGCUUGGGAUUGACCUUUGCAAUUGUUGGUCAUGCAACGAGGAAUGCCUUGUAAACGCGAGUCAUCAGCUCGCAUUGAAUACGUCCCUGCCCUUUGUACACACCGCCCGUCGCUCCUACCGAUGAAUGUUCCGAUGAAAUUUUCGGAGAGCGCCUGUGAACUUGGCUCUGCCUUGCGAACGGGAAGCUCAAAGUCACUAAAUCUGAACCAUCAAG